rnacentral:rRNA from 1 species
UACGUAGGGCGCAAGCGUUGUCCGGAAUUAUUGGGCGUAAAGAGCUCGUAGGCGGUCUGUUACGUCUGCUGUGAAAACCCAGGGCUUAACCCUGGGCCUGCAGUGGAUACGGGCAGACUAGAGGUAGGUAGGGGAGAAUGGAAUUCCCGGUGUAGCGGUGAAAUGCGCAGAUAUCGGGAGGAACACCGGUGGCGAAGGCGGUUCUCUGGGCCUUACCUGACACUGAGGAGCGAAAGCGUGGGGAGCGAACAGG